UUCCGGGUUGAGACACAUGACGACUCCUGAGACAGGAAGGUAGGGAGCAUGGGCAAAACUUUCCGGGAAAGGAAGAGGACAAAGUCCAGGAACACCUGAGCCCAACAGUUCUCAGAACCCUGCAUUUAGACUUCCGCAAGAGAACUUGAGCAGAUAGAGUGACCUGGAAGUAACGUCGGCAUGGGAAAUGUAAGAAAAACAGUGACAGCCACCACUUGCUAUCAUUCCUCUUCACAAUGGCCCAUUCUACAAUGCAAGGUCAAGGCACCAUGCUCCCUGCUUUAUGGAAACAGCACUUCUGCAAGUGAAAUGUGAGCACAAAAAUUGAAACUCAGCACCUACAGUGAAUAUAUAAUUAUGAAGAGGCAGAGGCAAGCAUCAAAAAUAACUUUGAGAAAUAAGGAGAAAAGAAUUGUUUAGCAACUCCAGGAAGAAGUAGGACUUGAACACUAUCCUCACCUAACCACCCUUGGUUUCCUUCUCAACUU